GCUGGGUGCGGUGGCACAUGCCUGUAGUCCCAGCUACUUGGGAGGCUGAGGCUGGAGGAUCGCUUGAGUCCAGGAGUUCUGGGCUGUAGUGCGCUAUGCUGAUCAGGUGUCCACACUAAGUUCAGCAUCAAUAUGGUGACCUCCCGGGAGUGGGGGACCACCAGGUUGCCUAAGGAAGGGUGAACUGGCCCAGGUCGGAAAUGGAGCAGGUCAAAACUCCCGUGCUGAUCAGUAGUGGGAUCAUGCCUGUGAAUAGCCACUGCAUUCCAGCCUGGGCAACAUAGCGAGACUCUGUCUCU
rnacentral:SRP_RNA from 1 species